CAUAUGAUACAGUUGAUUGGAGAUUCCUGAAACAAAUGCUAACAUAAUUAAAAUUUACUCAAAAAUUCAUCAAUUGGGUGAUAGAAUGUGUUACUAUAGUGAAUUACUCCAUCAUGAUAAAUGGUGAGCCUACCCCACCUUUUGAUGCUGCUAGAGGGCUUUGUCAAGGAGACCAAUGUCACAUUUUGUAUAUGUUGUGGUUAUGAAGUAUCUAAGCAGGAACCUUGAUGCACUGAAGGAGGAGAAGUACUUCAAAUUCCACCCAAAUUGCUCCAAACUUAGCAUCACUCAUCUGUGUUUUGCGUAUGACCUUUUAAUAUUUGCUAAGGGGAAACAAACUCAGUUGAACUGUUGCAGGAAAAAUUCAAGAUCUUUACAAAAGCUUCAGGACUAAUUGCAAAUCAAUCCAAGAGUGCAACAUAUUAUGGAGGAGUUUCAGAGAUACACAAGCAGGAAAUUCAAUAGGUCCUAGGUUACAAGGAAAGAGAACUGCCAUUCAAGUAUUUAGGGAUUCCAUUAGCCACCAGAAAACUAAAACUGGUGGAAUGGAAACCUCUAAUCAACAAGAUCAUAGCAAGAAUAUCAUUAUUGACUGCAAAGAAAUUAUCAUAUGCAGAAAGAGUACAAUUGGUGAAAUCAGUACUGUUUGGUAUUCAAUCAUAUUGGGCACAAUUAUUCAUUAUUCCUGCUAAGGUGAUGAAAGCAAUUGAAGGGUAUUGUCGAAGUUACAUCUGGUCAGGAACAAAAGAAAUCAUUGGUAGCUUGGAGAAAGAUAUGUUUCCCUAAAACAGCAAGAGGUCUGAGUCUCACUAACCUCAGAUUGUGGAACAAAGCUACAAUAAUUAAAACUUGCUGGGAUUUGAAGAACAAAAAAGAAAGUCUAUGGAUUAAGUGGAUUCAUUAAUACUACGUAAAAGCUUAGACACUGGAAAGUAUGAUCAUUCCCUUACAAGCUAGUUGGAUGGUCAAGAAGAUACUCAAGACAAGAGAUAAUUUAGGAUAUGUACAACCAGAAGAUAUGAAGAACAAAAGUAUAAUUAGAAAUAACUAUCUAAAAAUGAUUGGGGAGCUGCCUAAAGUAACAUGUAAAAAUAUCAUGUGUAACAAUAAAGCAAGGCCAAAGGCAAUGUUUAUCACUUGGUUGUAGCAGCAGAUCAAACUACUAACAGCUACAAGAUUAGAAGCAUGGGGAACUCAAGUGGAUAGUUGUUGUGUCAUGUGCAAAACAGUAGCAGAAACAAGAAAUCACCUAUUUGCUGAGUUUCCAACAGGAAAAAAUAUAUGGCAGAAGAUUAUGCAAUGGAUACAAAUCACUUGGAGAAAUCUGAAUACAUGGAACCAACUGCAAUACUAGAUAGAACAGAACACAAAAGGGAAAUCUACCAGAUCAAGAAUAAUUAAGAUGAUAUACACAUAAUAUGUGUAUGCAAUCUGGAUGAAAAGAAACAAAAGGAUUUUUGAGAAAAAGGAAACGAGAGAGGAUGCAAUAGCAAGAGAAAUUGCAUAUAUUUGUCAUGUUCAAGCUAGCUAGUAGUACUGCUAAGAGGAUGUUGCAAUACUGUAAAUUUCCUAGGUAGUUAGAACUAAUAGUAAGAUGUAUAAGUAGGAGGAUAUAGAGAGAUAGAUGCGUAGAGAAAAAUCUGACCGAGUAUAAAGUCUGAUCGAUUUGUAAAUACUUUUGGUCAUUAAUGAAAGCUUUAAUUACCCAAAAAAAGUCAUUAUAUCUGGUCAUUCACUACGUUCAAUACUUAAGUGAAAGAAAAUCUUAAUAGCUCAGUUAAUUGGCAUCUUGAAUUUUCACCUUAUUGGUGAAGGUUCGAUUCACUACUUUAUAAAUAUUCCACUUUUUGAUUU
rnacentral:lncRNA from 1 species